rnacentral:rRNA from 1 species
UACGGAGGGGGCUAGCGUUGUUCGGAAUUACUGGGCGUAAAGCGCGCGCAGGCGGCUAUCCAAGUCAGUGGUGAAAGCCCGGAGCUCAACUCCGGAACUGCCAUUGAAACUGUUUAGCUUGAGGAUGAGAGAGGUGAGUGGAAUUCCCAGUGUAGAGGUGAAAUUCGUAGAUAUUGGGAAGAACACCGAUGGCGAAGGCGGCUCACUGGCUCAUUACUGACGCUCAGGCGCGAUAGCGUGGGGAGCAAACAGG